rnacentral:rRNA from 1 species
CCUACGGGGAGCUGCAGUGGGGAAUAUUGGACAAUGGGCGAAAGCCUGAUCCAGCCAUGCCGCGUGUGUGAAGAAGGCCUUCGGGUUGUAAAGCACUUUCAGUGGGGAAGAAAGCCUUGGGGCUAAUACCCUCGAGGAAGGACAUCACCCACAGAAGAAGCACCGGCUAACUCCGUGCCAGCAGCCGCGGUAAUACGGAGGGUGCGAGCGUUAAUCGGAAUUACGGGGCGUAAAGCGCGCGUAGGCGGUCUGAUAAGCCGGUUGUGAAAGCCCCGGGCUCAACCUGGGAACGGCAUCCGGAACUGUCAGGCUAGAGUGCAGGAGAGGAAGGUAGAAUUCCCGGUGUAGCGGUGAAAUGCGUAGAGAUCGGGAGGAAUACCAGUGGCGAAGGCGGCCUUCUGGACUGACACUGACGCUGAGGUGCGAAAGCGUGGGUAGCAAACAGGAUUAGAUACCCUAGUAGUC